AGAGAAAAAUGGCGGACCAGUCGCGUGGUAAGAAGCCGGUUCAAAUUACAGUCUACGGAACAGAUGCUCAUUUGCAGAAGCCACUGUCCGGCGUCCUCGAUUCCAUGCGACGCCAUUCUAAGUCAUCGUUUCACACGGGAAACGCACUAAAAAUAUUGAUGCUGGAAGAGAGCUUCUGAGGAGAAAUGCGACCGAAAGGUGCAUUCGGGGGUUUGAGUUAGAAGGCUGUUUUCCUCAAAGUUUCUAAGCUGAUCGCCAAACUUCGUAAAUCAUUCACAUUAACAUGAUCAUUUCUUAGAAAUCUUGAAGAUCGGACGUAUUUGGUUCUUUCCUUCACUAAAAUUUAUCGCAUUAUUGUUCACAACAACACACAACAAUUGCAAUGGCGCAUUACGCCUUUCUGGUCGUUUAAAGCUACUAUUUAAAAUUAUAAAAUUAAUUGUAAUUGAUGACCUCUAAGUUGGCUCACGGGGGUUUACCUUUGAUCUAGCAUACGGUUGACAACAAAGGCUGUCUGAUUUGCAACCAUAGCUAAAAAUGGGUCUUCUAACUUUUUUUUUUUCACUAACCUUUUUGGAGCACUGCAACAUGCACUGCGUGGUUUAAAUUAGUUUUUAAACAAGAGGAUUCUCUUGAUUUUAACCGCUUUAAUAUGACAAAUUAGGGACUAUGGGUCACAUGAUAGUUCGAUGACUCUUGUCAUAGAAAACCUAUUUUGCAAGUAUUUUUUUUGGUUAAUAUCAAUCAUUGAUCAUAUGUUUACAUUUUGAUUCGAUUGAAUCGCUUUGCUUAAAAGCUGCUAAAACAACAUAUAAAUGAAACAACCUACACUAUCAUACAAAGGACAUUUUCCUUCUUCAGGCGGAGUACCAAAAGUGAUGUUUCUAGCUUCAAAGAGGCUUAAGAGGUAUCUUUCGCUGAUUUUCUACCCUCUCUCUCGGUGUCUUGCCCCCAUGAUAAUGCGAAGAGGAAAUUUACAAUAAAAAUCAUGCUCGACUCAUUAGCAUAAAAUUUUUAGGACGUGAAUAAAAUUAUAUUUAGAGCGUUUUGUUCGUUUCCAUUUUCUAAAUUGUACCUCAUUCAAAGAGUAAUGUUCACACAUAAUAACAAAAUUUAUUUAGUCCAAAUAAAAAAAAUUUGGGGGGAAAAAGAAAAGUUUAUUUUUAACACAGUUGCCAUGCUGGAAUGCACGGUCACUUGUUCAUUUCAUUCUUUUGCUAUUUACGCACGCUUCUACGGCUAGAACAAAGACUUAGUCGAGACUGAAGGAAUGACACACUUUUUAAUUUAUCCUCCUAUUUUCUAACGCGUUAGGAUCUGGAGCCCAUCUUUCACACACCGAGAUUUUAUUAGUUGGAGAUUCAUAUAUUGUACAUGAUUUCCAUAAAACGAGUCUAUGACAAGGUGUACCAAAAUGUUUUUAGAAGCAAACAUAAUUAUUGGCUGUUGUUGCAUGUCUAUGCUAUUAAAGGACUUUUUGCUCUUUAUUAAGGGUGCUACGGAAAUCAGACCUCCCAGACAAAUUCCUGAAGAAAUUCUAAUCAAACGUCCAAUACAAACUUUCCAGCGUUUUCCAUGCCUUUUCACGAUAUUUAGAAUAUAUUUACAUGCGUGCUUUGCGGUUUGGAGACGGUUAAACCAUGUAAGCUCGUAAUCGUUUAAUAAUUUUAAAACCAGGUGGAAAUAUGUGCUCAGAGUUCACUCAGAUUCAGUAAAAUAACAGUUUUAGCUAUGCUGUGAGUCUUGGCUUUUAAUUUUGCUUAUGACUGGAUGUACCAAAAAUGUGAAAUUUAGUGAGUUAGAACUUUUCUCAUAUGAUUCAUACUCUUCAAAAUAUCGCCAAAAUCUGAUUCUUUUAAGACUUCUUAGGAAGUUGAUUUGCUAACAUGAAAUAAGUUGACCCUUAUACUUUAUUGUCAUGAUAUUCUUUUUAAAGUAUAACAGGCAAGCAUACUAUCUAAUGUUAUAAAUGUAAUAAAACAUCGCCUUCGUCAAAGCGUGGGCUGUUGUCAUGACAAAUGGCAGAAAAUGGCGUCGCAUGGAAUCGAGGACGCCGGAGAGUGGCUAAUGCAAAUGAGCAUCUGUUCCGUAGACUGUUACUCAUUGACAGAGCUUGGGCUUAUGUGUUAUAUGUUGAUGAAUUUGAAAUCGAAGGGACUGGAGUAGAGUGAUUUCCUCAUUUGUUUUAUUUGAUUUGACAAAGUGUUAUGGGAGAUAAAAGUCAAGAGAAAAUCAUGUCGGAGAAGAAACCUAUAAAGCAAGCUUCUGAUCAGUGUCAAGAUUUGAUAUGCACACAGGAAAUAAAAGUUGAGCCAGAAUUAUUUGAUUUAAAAAGUAUUGUAGAGGAGACAUCAAAAGCAUUGAAUUUAUCUGUGAAACCACACAAAUGUGAUAAAUGUGGCAAGUGCUUCAACCGACCCUCACGCCUAAAGACACAUCUAAUGAUUCACUCAGGACAGAAACCACACAAAUGUGAUGAAUGUGGCAAGUGCUUUACCGAAUCUAGAUUCCUGAAUAAACACGUAAGGAUUCACACAGGACACAAACCAUUCAAAUGUGAUGAAUGUGGCAAGUGUUUUAACCAAUCUGAAAACCUGAAAACACACCUAAGGAUUCACUCAGGACAGAAACCAUACAAAUGUGAUGAAUGUGGCAGAUGCUUUAACCGAUCGGGACACCUAAAAACACACCUAAUGAUGCACUCAGGACAAAAACCAUACAAAUGUGAUGUGUGUGAUAAGGGCUUUACCUGGCAUUCAGUCUUGAAAAGACACCUAAGGAUGCACUCGGCACAGAAAACAUACAAAUGUGAUGAAUGCGGCGAGUGCUUUAACCAAUCUAGAAAUCUGAAAACACACCUAACGAUUCACUCAGGACAGAAAGCAUACGAAUGUGGUGAAUGUGGCAAAUGCUUUACCCGACAUACAGUCCUGAAGAGACACCUAAUGGUUCACACAGGAGAGAAACCAUUCAAAUGUAAUGAAUGUGGCAAGUGCUUUAUCCAAUCUGGCAACUUUAAUAGACACGUAAUGAUUCACUCAGGACAGAAAUCGUAUAAAUGUGAUGAAUGUGGCAAAUGCUUUACCCGACAUACACACCUGAAGAGACACCUAAUGGUUCACUCAUGAGAGAAACCACACAAAUGUGAUCAAUGUGGCAAGUGCUUUAUCCAAUCUGGCAACUUUAAUAGACACGUAAUGAUUCACUUAGGACAGAAAUCAUAUAAAUGUGAUGAAUGUGGCAAAUGCUUUACCCGACAUACACACCUGAAGAGACACCUAAUGGUUCACUCAUGAGAGAAACCACACAAAUGUGAUGAAUGUGAUUCUCAUCGAAAUUAUCUGAAAACGAAAUGCAGGGUCUGUGCUGCUCAUAUUAAAAAUGAUUCAAGAAAAGCUGGAGUAAAAAAGUUCGAAAGUGAUUGCUUUGGUCUCUUUGGCAUUGUAGUCCAGGAAGAUCUUCCGACUAUUCACCCGCCAUAUUUGUGCUAUAAAUGCAUUCUCUCAUUGGGACGCUUCAAAAAAGCAAAAAUCAAAGGACAAACAUUUGUGUCAAAGAAAGCUCUAGUGCAAUGGACGGCACAUACAGAGACCUGCAAAUGUUUGACUAAAAAAUCUGGAAGACCAACAACAACAAAACAGUUAAUAUGCCCUUCCACAAGCAAGGAAUCAUCAGACACAGAUACAGCCAGUGAGUCUGAAGAUAAUGAGGCUGAGAUACUACUGAAUCGGCUACUACAUGAAAGCGUUUCUUUGCCGGCUAGCUUUAGCUUAGAGCUAGCAGAGGCAUUAGGACUGCGCCAUGACUUCUGCAUAAUUGAUAUUAAUGACAUGCAGGGUUCUCUAUCCAAGAUUGACAGGGAUCACCAAGAUCAGAUUGUUGCACACAUUAUAGAAUCCCAAGAAGAGCAAAUAUAAUCUGAUGUUCGAGAUUAAUCAGGGGUUCCCAAUGACAUUGAGAUAAUAUCCAAACAUGACAACAGCAAGUGGAUGUCAGAACGAGUCCCCCUAGUUCAACAGAUUGUUGAUGGAUUAAGUGACCGUCACACGCCUACCCUCCUGAAGGUUGCAGCCACAGAGCACUUAUAUCAGCUUUGCAAUAGGAGAUUUAUAUCUCCUCUAAGUUUCUGUACAAGUACCGUGCUGUAUUCGCUUACAUCAAAAAAGGCUAUUGCUGAUCUUUACGGAAAAAUGCAUCCAAGUGGCUCCUUUUCUACUAUAAAAUCCUGGCUGAAUAACCUUUCCAUGAAGUUGCUUCCCUUCUCAGAAGGAGAUACCCUUGUAGCAUUCGAUAAUGAUCAGCAUAAUAAUCAUAAUUAUAAUAAGCAUAAUAAAAAGCAACAUAAUAACAAAGCGAAAUUAUCAAUUUUAACCAGUGUCUGCCAAGCUGAGGUUGAUGGAAGAGGGACACUUCAGAGAAGAGACAGUCUUUCUCCCAGAACAAAUCCAUGCUGCACAAAUUUAUAGUGGAAAUGGGAAAGGAGCAAAUGAAACACAACAGUAUUUGGGGAGACGGGAUCGACGAGAAAUUGAAGACUAUGUCCUAGAAGGAAGGAAAAAGGAUGUUCCCUGUGAGUGGGACAUCAGUGGACAUAAAGAAAAGGAAAUGUGUGAAGGAAGAAUGGUGGACUUGAAACAGGCUGAGGAGAGCGCAAACGGGACAGAUUUACUUGGGACUGCCCUUGUCGCCCCAAUACGGAAGUAUUAUUACAGGACGGGUUGUCAUAUUGUUUAGGUUAUAGUUACUUGUCGUCUAGUAUUUCAUGUUCUUAUCAUAAAAGACUGAAGUUUUGUUUAUCUUUUAAGGAUAAUUUGGAUUUUGUUUCCUUAGUCUAGAUUUUAGCACGCCCGUGAACCCUCCGCUUCGAUGACCUUUUGGCGCGUCUAAAUCCAGGGAGUGUCCAGUUUCUUAUACGUGGCAAAAUCGUGGUUUCUUCUUUUCGUUUCGGACAUUUGAUUUGGCAAGUUGAAUGUUCUUCGAAACCACAUGCCAUGUUCACCUCUAGAUUUAGACAUCAUUAUUUUUAUCGUUAUUUCGUGGGAAAAUGUUGUAGUCGAGCGCUGUUAGAGAACUUCAUUCAUUAUUUUUGUAAAUAGGUAGGGACGAGAAACCAACUCUGUGAUUUCCUACGCCCUCACGCUUUUCGUUGUUUGCUUCGUUUUGCCGAAUGUAUCCAAUUCUCCCUGUUCUCUCUUGAUUUGUUUUACAUUUAUUUCCUUUCAUGUGGCACCACCACACAGAUUGCUGUCUGGUUCUAGCGUAUAAAUGUAGAGAGCCUAGUACUCUAUGUUUAUGUGUGGCUGCUGUAUAUUGUGGUUGCUGUUCUGCGGUUGCGACUGCGGACAAUUAAAAGUUUGAAAAUACCA